GGAACGUGCCCUGUCGUGGGGGAUAACUAGUCGAAAGAUUAGCUAAUACCGCAUACGACCUGAGGGUGAAAGCGGGGGACCGUAAGGCCUCGCGCGACAGGAGCGGCCGAUGUCUGAUUAGCUAGUUGGUGGGGUAAAGGCCUACCAAGGCGACGAUCAGUAGCUGGUCUGAGAGGACGAUCAGCCACACUGGGACUGAGACACGGCCCAGACUCCUACGGGAGGCAGCAGUGGGGAAUUUUGGACAAUGGGGGCAACCCUGAUCCAGCAAUGCCGCGUGUGUGAAGAAGGCCUUCGGGUUGUAAAGCACUUUUGUCCGGAAAGAAAGCCUUUGCCCUAAUACGGUGGGGGGAUGACGGUACCGGAAGAAUAAGCACCGGCUAACUACGUGCCAGCAGCCGCGGUAAUACGUAGGGUGCGAGCGUUAAUCGGAAUUACUGGGCGUAAAGCGUGCGCAGGCGGUUUGAUAAGACAGGCGUGAAAUCCCCGAGCUUAACUUGGGAAUGGCGCUUGUGACUGUCAGGCUAGAGUAUGUCAGAGGGGGGUAGAAUUCCACGUGUAGCAGUGAAAUGCGUAGAGAUGUGGAGGAAUACCGAUGGCGAAGGCAGCCCCCUGGGACGUCACUGACGCUCAUGC
rnacentral:rRNA from 1 species